rnacentral:rRNA from 1 species
UACGGAGGGAGCUAGCGUUGUUCGGAAUUACUGGGCGUAAAGCGCACGUAGGCGGCUUUUUAAGUCAGGGGUGAAAUCCCGGGGCUCAACCCCGGAACUGCCUUUGAAACUGGAAGGCUAGAAUCUUGGAGAGGCGAGUGGAAUUCCGAGUGUAGAGGUGAAAUUCGUAGAUAUUCGGAAGAACACCAGUGGCGAAGGCGACUCGCUGGACAAGUAUUGACGCUGAGGUGCGAAAGCGUGGGGAGCAAACAGG